rnacentral:misc_RNA from 1 species
UGGAGAUAUGACCGCAACGCACAUUCGCUGUUCAGUUUUGAGAGAUGCAUUCUCUCAAUGUCUGGUGAUGAUGGCGGAGGGGACACACCCGUUCCCAUGCCGAACACGGCCGUUAAGCCCUCCAGCGCCGAUGGUACUUGCUCCGCAGGGAGCCGGGAGAGUAGGACGUUGCCAGGCGAGCGACCUUUUUGGUUGCUUGAUGAUUUGUUCCUUGAAAACUGGAUACUGCAUGAAUUGCUAAGGAUUUAAACUGUAAGUACUUUUUGGUAAUUACGGAAAUGCAAGGAUGGCCUGCUAAGUUCGCCUCAUCCGUGAGGCAACGCAUGCACUAGCACAUCCUGUGCGUCGU